rnacentral:rRNA from 1 species
UACGUAGGUGGCAAGCGUUGUCCGGAUUUAUUGGGUUUAAAGGGUGCGUAGGCGGCCCUGUAAGUCAGUGCUGAAAUACCCCGGCUUAACCGGGGGGGGUGGCAUUGAUACUGCAGGGCUUGAGUACAGAUGAGGUAGGCGGAAUUGACGGUGUAGCGGUGAAAUGCAUAGAUAUCGUCAAGAACACCGAUAGCGAAGGCAGCUUACUGGGCUGUAACUGACGCUGAUGCACGAAAAGUGUGGGGAUCAAACAGGG